rnacentral:lncRNA from 1 species
AUAUUUCACCAAAGAAGAUACAAAUGUCAAAUAUACACGAAAGACAGGCAGUAUAAUCAGGCAUUAGCAAAAUGUCAAUUAAAGCCACAGCGUAAAGCCGUACACCAAUUUGAACGGCAGAAAACCUUCCCCCAUGAAGCACCCACCGUGCUGCCGAGCUGCCGGUACCCCUUGGCAAAGGUGCAGAGCAACCGGAGCUCUCGUACGUGGCUUCGGAGAUUGAAUGUACAAGGGGACAAUGGCCAGAAUCCCGUACGAAAACAACCGGAUUCCACAGAAGUGGCAGCCAGCCAUGGGGCCAAACCCCACUUCUGCAGAAACCAGUCCAGGAAGUGGAAACACAAGCCCUGCGGUGACCGGCCCCAGAAGAUCUGGGCUAAGUCAGUAGCUGCCAGAUUUCUUCAUAAUCUCUGGCCUCACUUCCACCUAGAGCCGCCCAGAGACGGUCCAGUCUGCUCUGCAGGGAACCGCACCGGCUGCCUGGCGUCGAGCCCAUCUGCCCACAUCCUCUCCUCACCCCGCCAGCAGCCUCCGCAGCUUGCUCUUUCUUUCUUUCUCUUUCUUUCUUUCUUUCUUUCUUUCUUUCUUUCUUUCUUUCUUUCUUUCUUUCUUUCUUUCUUUCUUUCUUUCUUUCUUUUGUUGUUGACAGGCAGAGUGGACAGUGAGAGAGAGAGACAGAGAGAAAGGUCUUCCUUUGCCGUUGGUUCACCCUCCAAUGGCCGCCGCAGCUGGCGCACUGCGGCCGGCACGCUGCUGCCGGCAUACCGCGCUGAUCCGAUGGCAGGAGCCAGGUGCUUCUCCUGGUCUCCCAUGGGUGCAGGGCCCAAGCACUUGGGCCAUCCUCCACUGCACUCCCGGGCCACAGCAGAGAGCUGGCCUGGAAGAGGGGCAACCGGGACAGAAUCCGGCGCCCCGACCGGGACUAGAACCCGGUGUGCUGGCGCCGCAAGGUGGAGGAUUAGCCUAGUGAGCCGCGGCGCUGGCCCACAGCUUGCUCUUGGGCACCUGACCCCAGAAGCGGGCGGCACACCCCUCUGCACUCCCUGA